CAAUAGCGUAUAUUAAAGUUGUUGCGGUUAAAAAGCUCGUAGUUGGAUUUCUGCCGAGGACGACCGGUCCGCCCUCUGGGUGAGUAUCUGGCUCGGCCUGGGCAUCUUCUUGGAGAACGUAGCUGCACUUGACUGUGUGGUGCGGUAUCCAGGACUUUUACUUUGAGGAAAUUAGAGUGUUUCAAGCAGGCUUACGCCUUGAAUACAUUAGCAUGGAAUAAUAAGAUAGGACCUCGGUUCUAUUUUGUUGGUUUCUAGAGCUGAGGUAAUGAUUAAUAGGGAUAGUUGGGGGCAUUCGUAUUUAACUGUCAGAGGUGAAAUUCUUGGAUUUAUUAAAGAUGAACUACCGCGAAAGCAUUUACCAAGGACACUUCCAUUAA
rnacentral:rRNA from 1 species